GAAGGAACAAAUUACAAGGAGGGGAAUCUGCUCCCGCCCUGGUGUUGCACCCACUGGCUGUCCACAGGACCCCCUCCAGCCUUGACUUCCCUCAGGAGGCCUGCAUACAUCCAACAAGAUGACUUAAGCUAGCAAAGUAGCUUAUGGACACACAAAACCUGAACCGAGGCUGAAAUUUGGGUGAGAAAAAUGAAGCACGCAGAAAUUCAAACGCUGUCUAGGAUCACCAGCUAGAACACAGCGGAGCCAAGAUCCAAUCCUGCUGUCUGCCUCCAGAGCCACCCUUGACCUACCCUGCCUCCCAGGCCGCGUCCCCGCCGAGGUAGCCAGCUGUGACUUCCCUUUAUCUCCGGCUAAGCUGCUUGUUGGAAAAGAAAGCACUUUCUCACCUACUGGUGCCCCCUUUCAUCCCCAACCCUGCCCCGGGGCAACACAGAGCGAGUCUGAUGGGUCUCCACAGAGGGGCUUCAGAUGCCUGAUGGUCGUGGUAGCCCCCUGAGCCUGCCUUCAUCCAGCCUAAAUGUCCUCUGUUGCUUUGGUUUGCCUCAGGCCCAAAGACAUCUCAUUUUGGCCACUGCACCAGUCAGUGGCCACAGCGCCCCCUGGUGAACAAGUCUGCAAGAUUCCUGGUUAGGCUCAAAUAAUAGGUGUAAACAACAGGGGCACAAUGGUGACACUGCAAGUCCCAACAUCCCUCCAGUCAGCAAUUGAACAAUUACCCAGCCACCUGACCUCCCUGCCUCUAACCUCCCCAUCCCUCCUGACAUCAAUUCACUGAAGCCAGAGUAAACUAUGGAAGGCUUUAAUCUAACUCAGACACUUU
rnacentral:lncRNA from 10 species